GAGGGUGUAGCUCAGUGGUAGAGUGAAUGCCUAGCAUGUGCAAGGUCCUGGGUUCAAUCCCCAGUACCUCCA
rnacentral:tRNA from 1 species